GCAGCAGCUGCAUUUAUCCCUCGGAUCGUCUAUCUUCACACACACACACCUUUCGUCCUCCUUCCUAUCUCCUCCAAGCCAUGGCGGCACAACUAUAGCCCGUGCAGCGAGGCAAGCUUUUUCCUAGGGGAGAAGAAGCAGCAGGCAAACCAGCAAGCGCAAAAAUGGACACUAAUGCAGAUCUCGAAGAGCUUGAGGCGCAAAACACAGAGUUAAACGAGUUCAACGCGGUGCAAGGUCCAAUAGCAGUUACGUCUAGGAUUUCAGUGCAGAAACUAUGCAAUGUGUUCUCUCAGUUCAAUGAUUUCAAGAAGCAGCUAAUCAGAGACAUCGGAUUCGGAGGUGUACUUGCCAUCAAGACUCUUCCCAAGUUGAAUCUGAAGUUUAGUUCUUGUUUAAUGGAGAAGGUAAACCCAGAGACAAGAGAAAUUUUAAUAGAAGAUUAUCGCGCGAUCAUGUUUUCCUCCCAAGACGUUAGCAACGUGUUUGGGAUUCCUUGUGGUGCAAAGAAAAUAUCUUCGUACCCAACAGAGUUGUCAGAGGCUUGUGCAGAGUUCAAAAAAUUCGCUGAAGACAUGAGCGACAAGGGUGUACACAGCUUGAAGGCUGCUGAAGCCAUACUGGUGAAGCACUUGGAUGCAGAGUCAAGAACACUAGACAUAGACAUGUUCAAGAUUGCUUCUGUCAUUUUUGUAGUUGGGCACAUGUUAUGCCCAUCAUCAAAAAACGAAUACACUACUGUCGAUUACGGGGGAGCUCUGAGCACAACUGCAGAGAUCAGCGAGCACAACUGGGCUGAACUUGUGGUCGAGCACCUACUUGCGGCUGUGCGGAAGCUAAAGUCUGAUCUCCACACUCGGCACUCGACUAUACACUUGCUUGGUUGCCAUUUGUUUCUUCAUGUAUGGCACGCGUUGGCACAUUUACUUCCUUUUUAAUAUUUUUUACACAAAGCAAGGUUUUUGUCCUCGACAACCUUGACCUUGGAUCGCUUACAUGUCGUGACACAUCGUUGCCGAGGAUCAAAAUUUUCGACUACGACACGAUCCGCAAGAUGAUAGACUCACUGAACAUCAGUCAGAGUGGCGAGCCAACGUUCAUGCUUGCCAGGGUAUGCUAGUGCCACCAUUUUCCCAGUAUCCCAGUUAAAAAACCCAAACCGAAAAAUGUCCAACUUUCCAGUUUUCCAAUUCAUUUCAUCGUCAAUGCAUCUGCUUAUAUGUAAAUUUACAACUCAAGGCGCAUCCGAAACACGACAUCAAUCCAGCAGCACGUGUGCUCACCUUUAUUUACAGGCCCAAAGCAGAACAAAGUGUUCAAGACCCCAGAUAACACUUCACGCCAGUAUAAUCCGAGCCCGAUAUGCAACCAAAUGGUUCAUGAUACAACUAGGAAAGGUCCUUCAAAUUUUGCCCUUCACCUUCGGGAACGGUACCCAGACAUGGUGGCAGACCCUAUAGCCAUUUUCUUAAGGGAGCACAACGCAAGGGUAGUGAGAAAUAUGUCCGAAUUGCAGCAGAAGUACCAUAAAGAAAGGGAAAAUCUAUUGAGAGGCUCUGGCGUACCGUGCGGCGGCGGUUCGUAAAGAUUCGUGCAGAAUCUUGCGGUUGCCAGCGCGCGACCGACCGCCCCGACCCGCCCACUUUUUUUACGCCCCCAGGCGGGGGACUGUUCAAAUUCGGUUUUUUUUUUCAUUAUCCGCGCCCCAUUCUACUCACAAGCCGUUGCUCCCGAGAGUCAGUCUGGCGAAAGCGGAGGCGGAUCCGGCGAUCCCCGCGCGACGAACUGCGGGUUCGGCCCGAGGAAUAGGGGGAUCCGGUGCGGCGUAGGGUGGAUCUGCAACUGUCGCCGGCGCUGGAGGGCGAGGAACUCAGGGAUUUCUGAAAAUGCCAAGGAGAAAGAGGAACUGGACGGAACACACUGUAGGUGGUAGGGGAGCAGUCAAUAAGGGCCACAUUGACGGUACUGAGCGAAAUAGGGCAUCACCACAGGCUAUUUGCAAGCUAUACAAGCACAUAAAUGAAGAUCAACGUGCUGCUAUCAGAGACAUGGGUACUGGAGCGUUCCUUGACAUCAAGUGUGGUUACUUGCACAACACCCUUGUGACAUGGUUCACUAGACAGUACCACUCAGGGAGGAAAGGUUUUGUUGUGCCUAGACGUGGGUUCAUCCCACUAACCGAGGAAUCUGUUCAUAAGAUUUUGGGCAUUCCUCGUGGAGAUAUCGAAAUCAAGUAUGAAGCUGACUACGACAAUGAAGAUGAAAUUGCAAGCUCUUUGUUCCCAGGCGAUGGCAGCAGGCCAAAGAUCACGACAGUUGCUACUGCAAUCAUCAACAACAACAAUGGUGAUGCUAGUUUUAAGAAGUUAUGGCUUAUUUAUAUCGUCUCAACCAUGUUGGCUCCUACAACGGAUACAAGGAUCAGCAACAAGUGCUACCCCAUGCUGGGAACACAUUGAGCAGUCAAACAGGCUCAACUUGUGCAAUUUUGUUGUGGCCCAGCUACAUGAGCACCUCUCAAAGGGCAAGUUCACAAAAGGAUGCCUUCUUUACUGCAUGGUGAGUGACAAUCCAAAAUCAAAAGUACAAACCCAGCGAAUAAUUUUGUUGUGGCCCAGCUACAUUUUGUCUUUCUUUUGUAUCUGUUUCUGUACCCAAAAACCAGGCAACUAUGGUUUUUUUUAAAAUUGGCAGUUAGUGUGUAUAUAUCUGACAACCAGCUUAUAUAUAUUUGACAACUAUGUUUAUUUGAAUCUGGCAAUCAGCUUUUAACUGAUUUGUGUCUUUUUGUAUUAUUUGUUGCAUCCACACCUACGGUAUCUUGAUGCUUUGGAUUGCGAUGACAUGGAGCUUGAGUUACCCGACACCCCGUACACAAUUAAUGCAUGGUCCAAGACACAUGUCGAUGUUGUCGCUGAGAUGGACAUGCUCGAGCAUGAUCCACCCAGUUUUGACAACUUUCAGUUGAAGGGAGAAUUUAGAGAGGAGAGUCACAGCAGAUUUGAUCUGUUUGGGGGACCUGGGGGCUUCGAAACCUGGAUGAAGCAAAAUAUACAUCCUAGUUGCUCUCAAAGUGAUAAGCUUAAAGCUACCACAGUUAUCAACAAGUUUGCAUCAGGGGUUGGCACAUUGUUUAAUCAGUUUGCAUCAGGGGUUGACACACUCCUUACAGAGCUCGUGCAGGGACUGACGGCACCCGCAACCAGAAAUACAACUACAAGUAGAAUAAAAAGGGGCACCGAGGAAAGAGAAAGUGAUGAUACAUCGUCCGAAGAUUCAGCAUAAUCUGAUAAUGACACAAAUGAGGACAACGUGGAUAUUGAACGUGACAAAAAGAAGAGGGUGGCAAGAAAGGAGGACAUCACCAGAGGCAAUGUCGAAUCACCAUUGACAAAAAAUGCGAGAUUCACUUCGCAGCAAAGGAAACAUUGGUCUCAUCUACCACACAAACGCUGUAAUGAGAAGAAUCAAGGAAGCAUGGAAGUUAUACUACGAUAAGUCGAGGGUUCAGGUUGAAAACUACGAACUCGAGAUCAUUGACACCCCAAAACAGGCUGUAAGCACAAAUAGGAGUGUGCACUGUGGCUUCUACAUGCUGGAAUAUCUUGAUAAGUGGGAUGGUGUAAAUGUGCCUCGAAUUCGGAAAGAGGACAUCCAAAAAAUAAAGAAGAUAACAGCCAACAAAUGGCUCAACGCUCCUUUCAACGAAAACUAAAAGUGGAAACAGCAGCUUGACAGCAACUGUCCGGGAGGGGAUUUGAGAUCAGAAGCUGAAGAUCCAGAGGGAGAAAGAGAGGUGGAUAUCUGAAAACAAGAGAGGUGGCCAAGAAAAAGAGAGAGGGGUUGCCUUUUUGAGUUGGAGAAAACAAGAGAUCUGAGGGUGCUGUUUUUUUAGUCCUUUUCUGUAAGCAGAUUCAUAUUUGUGGGAAACUCCAGAAUUUAGAUGGAGUAGUUGCAUACCUGUAUUUUUUUUACUGCCUUGGAUCACUUGGACAACUCCAGAAAUUGUCUCUUUUCUUGA